rnacentral:sRNA from 1 species
AGGCCUGGAUGAAUGAAAAGUUUGCCCCUGAGCUGCUGGAGAGCAAGCCUGAGAUUGUAGAAUGUGUCAUGGAACAGCUGGAGCACAUGGAAGAAAAUCUCAGGAGAGCCAAAAGGGAGGACCUGAAGGUCAGCAUCCACCAAAUGGAGAUGGAGAGGAUCCGCUAUGUCCUCAGCAGCUACUUGCGGUGUCGCCUCAUGAAGAUAGAGAAGUUUUUCCCUCAUGUCCUUGAGAAGGAGAAAACACGUCCUGAGGGGGAGCCUUCCAGCCUCUCGCCGGAAGAGUUGGCCUUUGCCAGAGAGUUCAUGGCGAACACAGAGUCCUAUCUGAAAAAUGUCGCCUUGAAGCACAUGCCCCCUAACUUACAGAAGGUGGACCUCUUUCGGGCAG